rnacentral:rRNA from 1 species
CAGUCGCCACGGUAAUACGAAGGGGGCUAGCGUUGUUCGGAUUUACUGGGCGUAAAGGGCGCGUAGGCGGGCUGAUAAGUCGGGGGUGAAAUCCCAAGGCUCAACCUUGGAACUGCCUUUGAUACUGUUGGUCUUGAGUCCGGGAGAGGUGAGUGGAACUGCGAGUGUAGAGGUGAAAUUCGUAGAUAUUCGCAAGAACACCAGUGGCGAAGGCGGCUCACUGGCCCGGAACUGACGCUGAGGCGCGAAAGCGUGGGGAGCAAACAGGAUUAGAUACCCCGGUAGUCCCGUCUCUUAUACC